GUUAAUUAGACAUGGUGUCUGUUUUUCACUGUAAUCAAAUGUGCCUUCAUAGAGUUCGGAGUGUGUUCAGGAACAGUGACUGACACGGAAUAAAAUGGGAAUGGAUUAGGAUGGGUGUGGAAUAAGAUGAGCAUGGAUUAGGACUGGUAUGGAUUAGGAUGGGCAUGGAUUAGGAUGGGUGUGGAAUAGGAUGGGCAUGGAAUAGGAUGGGCAUGGAUUAGGAUGGUAUUUAUUAGGAUGGGCAUGGAAUAAUAUGGGCAUGGAUUAGGAUGGG
ensembl:lncRNA